rnacentral:rRNA from 1 species
AGUUUGAUCCUGGCUCAGGACGAACGCUGGCGGCGUGCUUAACACAUGCAAGUCGAACGGAAAGGCCCUUCGGGGUACUCGAGUGGCGAACGGGUGAGUAACACGUGGGUGAUCUGCCCUGCACUCUGGGAUAAGCCUGGGAAACUGGGUCUAAUACCGGAUAGGACCGCAUGCUUCAUGGUGUGUGGUGCAAAGCUUUUGCGGUGUGGGAUGAGCCCGCGGCCUAUCAGCUUGUUGGUGGGGUAAUGGCCUACCAAGGCGACGACGGGUAGCCGGCCUGAGAGGGUGACCGGCCACACUGGGACUGAGAUACGGCCCAGACUCCUACGGGAGGCAGCAGUGGGGAAUAUUGCACAAUGGGCGCAAGCCUGAUGCAGCGACGCCGCGUGAGGGAUGACGGCCUUCGGGUUGUAAACCUCUUUCAGUAGGGACGAAGCGAAAGUGACGGUACCUACAGAAGAAGGACCGGCCAACUACGUGCCAGCAGCCGCGGUAAUACGUAGGGUCCGAGCGUUGUCCGGAAUUACUGGGCGUAAAGAGCUCGUAGGUGGUUUGUCGCGUUGUUCGUGAAAACUCACAGCUUAACUGUGGGCGUGCGGGCGAUACGGGCAGACUAGAGUACUGCAGGGGAGACUGGAAUUCCUGGUGUAGCGGUGGAAUGCGCAGAUAUCAGGAGGAACACCGGUGGCGAAGGCGGGUCUCUGGGCAGUAACUGACGCUGAGGAGCGAAAGCGUGGGUAGCCGAACAGGAUUAGAUACCCUGGUAGUC